rnacentral:lncRNA from 12 species
GUCUGAUUCUGCAAUCUGUGCUCUUGACCACUGUUUCAUGCUACUUUUUAAGUCAUUUAACCUCUCUAUAUCUCAAUUUUUCUAAUAGAAAAGUGGAUUGAAGUAUCUACGCCUGGAAGGUUGGAAGAAUGAAAAAAAAAACAGAAGUACACGUGAAGCUAUAUACACAUUAGAAAGUGGCAAGAAAGAAGCUGGAUGGGAAUGGCUAUUGGAUAAGCAGAGCGAGCAGUGUUUCCCCAGGUGAUUCAGUAAGGAAAAUCCUACUUGGUUCUCAGAAUUACGAGACAUCUGUGCUCUUGCUGUGUUGACUUUGCAAUGCCUCCCACAAGAGCAGGAACAGCUCUUGUCUCAUUGAUUUUGGGC